UGGUCGUAACAGGAAGUUUAAUUAUGAGAAAUACUGCUCGCUCAUUGGUCGAGGAAACAGGAAGUACUGAGUUUUGGUUGCUUGAUGGAGUCCCGUCAGGAAAAGUUUGUGUAAAGUUGCAAGACAAGUGUGUAGUUGAUAGCUCAAACUUUCUGCUUGUCAGUCUGCGUCAGGAUAAUAAUGUUUAACAUUUUAUGUGAGCAGCUGAAGAUCUUUCUACUCAAACAGUUCUUCACCUGUUUAUCUUCGCUCAUUAGCAUACCGAGUGUCCGUUGUUAGCAUUCAUUAGCAAAGUGAACGGACUUUUAACCGCUGUAUAGCUAACCCAGCUAACAUAUUCUGACGUGUAAACCGUGAAGUUUUAUCAGAGAGUGUUACAAGUUGACACCACAGGAUGAAGACAGCACUCUCAGUUCAUCAGAGGAUGGAGGGGAGACGUAGCUGUCAUCAGGAGGCUGGCCGCCAUCUUGUUCGUCGGGGCUGGUUGAUACUUUCCAAAUGGAUAAGGCUUGCAUCGUCGUCCAGGCUGUUUUCUGGAUCUUACUGGGUGUUUAGACCAAUCCAUGGUGCCAGGUGAUGGAUCCUCCUCCUGACUCUAAAAAUAAAGGAGUGCUAUUGUUAUUUCCUCAUUUUAAACUCAAAUUACUGCACACUUUGUUGAUCAUAGUAAGUGAUGAAAUAUUAUGUGGUAAUGCACAACAACUUAAAAAUGGUUUAAUACCAGCCUAUUCUCUCUCCCAACAUGUCAAGUACAUUAGCAUCGUCAGUGGCCUACAGACCUGCAGUGUUUCCAGGGGCAUGUCCAGGCAAUUCUACUUGAACUGUCAUAUGCUUCAAACAAAUGUGUAGUGUUCACUAAUUAAGCUUCAGUCACGCUAUCAUGAGCUAACACACUUCUAUUGACUUGUGUUAAGCUGCUGAAAUACAAUCACACAGAUCCCAAUCAGCAAUGCCACAGAACACAACCCACAUUUGGUAAACAAGACCCUUACCGGAAAUUAACAUUAUAAGAAAUGAGCAUGUAAAUGCACUUUUAUCUACAGAUUUUCAGAAUGUUUCAAAUUUGAGUCCCAUUAGAAGUAAGUGACCAUUUUAUACUCAAAACCAGAAUUUCCUCUAUUAAAAUGGACGAGUGCCUCAACCCUAAUUUGUUUGUCUUCCCAAACACCUCUAGAUGGACUCCUGAGUGUGAAACCUCUCACUGGCUGCAUGCUAAUGUAACCGGGUCAACCUGUGUUUAAUGAAAUAUGUAUAUAAUUACACAAAAUCUGUUUCUGCCUGACAAGAAAAUGCCUCCAAAUCCAGUGCAGACUGUUUGUGUAGCUCAGAGCUCCUCCUUUUUGAUUUCUUCUUCUGUGGUCCCCACUAUAAAUGCUUCCUGCCCCCCCACCUCUGCCCUUUUGUACAGAUCUCAUGUGGGAGAGGUGGGUGACCUAUUUCAUUCAGUUGAUAAUCCUGAACCAUCCUAACAUUUCUCUUUGUUUAUUAUAUGUAUUUCUGGUCUCAAUGUUAUCGUUAUGUCUGUUCCUGUCUAAUAAUGCAUACAGGUUAACAGAGCUGCAUUUCAAAAUAGUAGUUUUAACAGUUGAAAACCGCUAGCUUGACGCUACGACAAACUGAACUAACUUCCGGGUUUGUCGAUAUCUUUUUCUGCAUUUUAUUUGUGUAGGAGCUCGGGUGGACGGCACGAUUUACAUGGAGGUUGUCUGUUAUCUGUUUUGUCAGAAUAAACGAAGAUUGUCUCCAAAGAG